AAAAAUACACGCCCCUAUCCUGCAACAACUGCUGCCAAAACCUGAGACGAGUCUUUUUCAUGUUACUCAUAAUAUAGAUCCGAACCGCCAUUCCGUAGUGAACCGACAUGGUGAGUUAGUCUCCAAGCCUUCUUCUACGUGGUCCAAGCACUUUCACGUUCGAAGAGAAGACCGACCGACCCGGUACUAUAACUUAGGUACUAUAUAAUGGACACCCUCGAACCAUCAUCAAAGUGCAAAGAAAAGUUAACGAAGAGGCUGAUCCUGAUGAUGACCAUG
rnacentral:misc_RNA from 1 species